rnacentral:rRNA from 1 species
CCUACGGGAGGCUGCAGUGGGGAAUAUUGCACAAUGGGCGCAAGCCUGAUGCAGCCAUGCCGCGUGUGUGAAGAAGGCCUUCGGGUUGUAAAGCACUUUCAGCGGGGAGGAAGGCGGUGAGGUUAAUAACCUCAUCGAUUGACGUUACCCGCAGAAGAAGCACCGGCUAACACCGUGCCAGCAGCCGCGGUAAUACGGAGGGUGCAAGCGUUAAUCGGAAUUACUGGGCGUAAAGCGCACGCAGGCGGUCUGUCAAGUCGGAUGUGAAAUCCCCGGGCUCAACCUGGGAACUGCAUUCGAAACUGGCAGGCUAGAGUCUUGUAGAGGGUGGUAGAAUUCCAGGUGUAGCGGUGAAAUGCGUAGAUAUCUGAAGGAAUACCGGUGGCGAAGGCGGCCCCCUGGACAAAGACUGACGCUCAGGUGCGAAAGCGUGGGGAGCAAACAGGAUUAGAUACCCCAGUAGUC